CCCACCACUAUUCCCCCUCCCUCCACCCACCACCGUGUCCAAGGUUUCAAUUUCACUCUUCCCAUUUUCUCACGUCAAAAAUCCUCUCACUCAAUCUGACAGCCCCUCUCAGUCCCAGCUUCCCUUGCUUGCUUCACCUCCAGCCACUAGCACUCUUCCUUUUCAUCGCAGUCUCCUUCAAGUAAACUCUUUCUCUCUUCUAUUGUUCCUUUCAUUUGCCUCUCUAGGGUUUCCUGACGAUUUUUCUCCACUUUUAACUCUCUCCAUCUUAUUCUUAUGUUGGGAAACAAAAUUUUAAUUUGUUUUUACAGUUCUUGAAGAUCUUGAGAUCUGUUUGAGGGAUCUAACAGUGUCAAAGAUUAUCUGUUUUUCGUGGGUUUUCUUCUCUUAGGUUUUUAUUUUUGUUUUGGAUUUUCACAUUCUUCUUGUAUUAGCUAUGGAUUAUUGUUUUGUUGAUUUCUUACGUUGCAUGUUCUUUUCUUUGAAUGCCAUUUAAAUUUAGAACUAUUUUCUAAUAUGGGUUUAUGUCAUUUGUGUUGUUUAGUUUUCUUAGAAUCAAGUUUUUUUUUCUAGGAUUUACAUCAGAUGCUUUUAUUCAAAUGGAUUAUAAUGCAAAUAAACCUUUAUUCCAGUGAUUUAUUUUCAGUAAUUUCUCAAUAAUCUCAAUCUAGCUGUCUAAAUAAGCUUUCACUUUGAAACUUUAUGCCUAAACAACAUGACAAAAAUGAGAACUGCAACAGAAAGGAACUGAUCUAGCCGUCUCCUUACUUUGUUUGUUGUCGUUUUUUGUUCGUUUGCAGCUUUAGAUAAUCUUAUUGGAAAUUUUGUUUUUAUUUUAUUUUAUUAAUUUUUAUUUUCAUUAUCAUCAUCUUCUACUACGCAUACGGGGAAAAGGAAAAAAAACUCUUUUUUUUAUUAUUAGUUUUUUUAUUUUGCUUCUUAAAAAGCUUCAUUAAUUACCAACAAUUUGAUAUAAUAAAAGGAACUUGUCCAUGUUUUCAAAUUUCAAGUAUCAAAUUUAUUGAGGAAAAUAGAAACUAAAGCCAAGUCGUAUAUGUUACAAGAUAACAUAAAUUGUUGUAGGUUUUAGAGUGGAUUAUGAUUAUUUUGGUUUAAUAGUUGUUGAGUAUGCCUCAUAUUUCAAUCAAAUUUGAGAGAUAAUUUUUCAGUUAAACUCUGUUUAUUUGUUUCAGUCGAACUUUAAUUAGUCUAGAUUAUUUUAUUAUUUAUUGACCUACGAAUUUAGCCUAUAAAUUGGCUCUUUUACAAUAUUAGAAACACACCCAUUAAAAGAUUAGAGCUCAUAACCCUUUUGGAGAAUUUUGUGUUUACAUUUUAAGGGUUCUUAGUUUUUAGGUUUUGAGGUUUAGUUUUUAUCUCCAUUUUUUGUACUCUUUGUUCUUUUUCCAUUAUAGUAAAAUUAUCUUUGCCCGUAGUUUUUUAUCCUCUUUGGAGGGUUUUUCCAUGUUAAAUUUGUGUGUUCAAUUUCUCAAUUUCUUCCACUAUUUUUACUUGUUCAUUUGCUUAAUCGGGUCGAUCCCUAACAAUAAUGUGCCCUUAACUUUAUGUCUAAUUCAAGUUUCUAUUUUGGGUUCAAUUUUAUAUUAUCAAUAGUUAGUGUGUACAUGAGUUUAUACCCAAUGUUUUAGCUUUGCAUUGUGUGCUUUGAAGAUAUAUGCAAGUUACUUAUCAAGUUACUGAUCAAAUAUAUGCAUCACUGUAACACCCUUUACCCGUAUCCGAUGUCGGGACAGAGUACGAGAUAUUACCGAAAACAUACACAGUCAUUCAUGCAAAACCGAGCUAUAAAAUUUUUCUUCAAAUUAAUUUCAUUCAUACAUACACAAUUUGUCCCUCAUGUGGGCCUAUGAGGCCCAAAACAACCAUCAAAAAAUGAUUGGGAUUAAGUCGAGAACUUUUAGAAAAGUUUGGGAAAUUUUCCCUAAUACAGAGCCACACGCCCGUGUGAGAUAGGGGACACGCCCGUGUGCUCUUGACACACCCGUGUCCUCCAGUCGUGUAACUUUGUAAUACCCCAUACUCGUAUCCUAUGCCGGGGCGAAAUACGAGGUGAUACCUAACUUGAACUCAUACUUACAACCAAUUUCGAGUCUUCAUGACUUGGAAAAUUUUAAAACUUUCUUAAACUUAUCAAUAUAUUCUUAAUAUGGGCUUACGAGACCUAAAACACACAUCGAAAAUCAUUUGGGACCAAACCGGGUCCUUUUGCCAACUAUAGAAAAAUGUCACUUAACACAAGGGCACAUGCCCGUCUGACCAUUCCAACAUAGCCGUGCUGAUGGCCCGUGUGUCUCAUCGGUGUCCUCUACCCGAGUGGAAUUAAUUCUAAAUGCACACCUAAAGGGGUUUUCACAUGGCCUGGCACACGCCCGUGUCCUUGGCCUGUGUCAUUCACACAGCCAUGACACGUCCGUGUCCUAGCCCGUGUGCAGAAACCUGGACAUUCUGUUUCUGACGUCAGCAACCCCAAAAUGUCACACGGCCAAAACACAUACCCGUGUGCUAGAUCGUGUUCUACACAUGGCUGUGUCUCUGCCCGUGUGUUUACUACUAUGCAUACUGACUUGAAAUGUUUACAUGCAAGGGACAUACAGCCAGACUGCACACCCACGGGGCAGACCGUGUGACACACACGCCCGUGUGUCUAUCCGUGUGGACAAAAAUAAGGUUAUGUACCAAGCUUCUUUGUCACCAUUACUUACACAACCUACACAAUAACGACCAAAAACAAUACAAAACUAUUUCAUGCAGCCAAAUCAACCACCAUUUGUGCAAUUUACUUAUCCAUGAAACUAACACCAUUUACAUAUAUCAAAAUGGAUAUUAGCCAUCAUUCAAGGCUUCAUACAAAGUGAGGGAUUUAUCCCAAGCCAACAUAUUUGGCCAAAUUACAAACACACAAAACACAAGUCUAAUCCUCUAUACAUGCCAUAUUCAAAAAUAUAAAUUAAACUAUACCGAAUGCUUCGAUCGAUAGUGUGAUCGAUAUCUCUGACUUCCUUUGAUCCUUGAGCUAGCUAGGCGGCACUAUAAGAAAAAGAAAUGAGAGGAAGUAAGCAUAAAGCUUAGUAAGUUGCACAUAAAUAAAUAUACAACACAACUUUACCAUUCAUCAACAAGCUCAUAGUACACAAGUGGGCAUAAGUAAAACUUACUCAUCAAUAUUCCAUACACUUCGUAUAGUAUAUAUUGAACUCACAAUUCAAACAUACCCAAUAGGUACUUGUAUCACUUACAACUCGGUCAAACUUUUCUCAAUAACUAGAAAUCAUAACUUUCACCAUUGAACCAUUCAGAAUUCUAUCGGAUAUUCCAUAAGCCUCAUGCAUAGGGUAAGGUGUCGAUCCAAUGCCCCAGACAUGGUCUUACACUGGCUAUCAUCUCAUAGCCGACGCAUGUCCCAGACAUGUCUUACACUGGCUUACAUCUCGAGGUCGACGCAUGUCCUAGACAUGUCUUACACUAGCACUCGUCUCAAUGCCGAUGCCAUGUCCCAGACAUGGUCUUACACUGGCUUUCAUAAUGUGGCCGAUGCAUGUCCCAGCCAUGUCUUACAAUAGCUCACACAAGUGACCUGAUCGUCAUGGCAUGAAUAUCCGAUUUAUUUCCUAGGUUCAAACAGGAACUCUACUGUUUCUAUUAUCAUCAUACUUUCUCAAUUCCAAAAUCAAGCAAUUCAUACUAUAAUAAUUCAAUACAAUUCAACAUAUACAUUAGCAAUAUAGUUGUAUUAUUUACAUACAACUUACCUCAGAUUACAAAAUGUGGCAACUAGUCGAUUUAGCCGAUUUGCUUGGCUUUCCCCCUGUCUAAGCUCAGGUUUGGUAAUUCUUUAUCUAUAAUAAAAAAAUACACUUAUUUAAUCACUAAAUAAAAUUAGGCAAUCAAAAAUUCACUUCUUUGGUAAAAUGACCAUUUUGCCCCUAGACCUUAACAAAAUGACCAUUUUACCCUUAAGCUCAAAAAUCAAUUUUUAUCGAAUUUCUUCGCAUCUUAAGCCUAGCCGGACCCUUUUUACUCUUAUAGCAACUCCAAAUUCCCAUUAUAUUACACAUUUAUCAUCUACUUUACAGCUUAUGCAAACUAGGCCUUUUAAGUGUUUUCAUGCUAACACCUUUCACAAAAGUUGUUUAUAAGACACCUAAGACUCAUUUUCUUCCAUAAAAAUUUAGCAAACAUCACUAAUCCUUUCAUGGAAAAACCCUAUACUUUCAAUCAUUUUGAAAAAUAGUACCCUCAUUUGAAAGCUUAUGCUUCAAGGAUCUCAAAAGUACAAAAUAUUUAAGAAAAGCCAUUAGGAUCACUUACUUGUGAAGGCUUAAAGUUGCUGAAAUUUCAAGCUCUUAAACCCCAUUAUUUGCUGAAAAUUUCGGUGGAGGAAGAAGAUGAAAAGGGAUGAUAUCAUCAUUCUUUUAUCUAUUUCUAUUUUAGUCAAAAUAAGCCACCUAACCCACCAAAUUUUAAAAUUUUGUCUCCUCUUUGACUCUAUGGUCAACUAUGCUUCCUUAAAAGGGUUUAAUUGCCUUUUAAAAUCCCCCAAUUUUGAUUCUCUAAUAAAAUAAUACCUUUAGCUAUCAAAUUAAUACUUUUGCACUUAAUGCGAUUUAGCCUUUUUUUUUUUGCAAUUGGGCUCACAAACGUUAAAAUUAGCUCACCAAAUUUUUCAUGCACUAAUAUAAACAUGCUAUGACUCUAUAUCAAUAAUAAAAUAAAUCUUUUGACUUCGAAUUUGUGGUCCCGAGACCACUAUUUUGACUAGCCCCAAAAUCAGGCUGGUACAUUUCUCCCCCUUAGGGAUUUUCAUCCUCGAAAAUCUUACCGAUGAAUAAGUUUGGGUAUUGAUCUAUCAUACUCUCCUCAGGUUCCCAUAUGGCUUCCUCGACUCCAUGUCUAUGCCACAAAACUUUCACUAGUGCUACACUCUUAUUCAUCAACUGUUUGACUUCACAAGUCAAUAUCUUGACCGGCUCUUCGCCAUAAGUCAUGUCCGGAUAAUUCUCAACCUCUGACGGCGCAGUCACAUACGAAGGGUCUGAUUUAUAUCGACGCAGCAUGGACACAUGAAACACAUCGUGAAUCUUUUCUAAUUUUGGUGGUAAAGCCAAUCGAUAGGCAACUGGCCCUACUCUUUCGGUAACCUCAUAGGGUCCUAUGAAACGAGGACUCAACUUGCCUCUUCUACCAAAUCUGAGAACUUUCCUCUACAAGGAUACUUUCAAAAAUACUCGAUCAUCGACUUAAAAUUCAAUCUCUUUCCGUUUCAAAUCCGCGUAAGAUUUUUGUCUAUCCGAAGCAGCUUUCAAACAGUCCUAAAUCACUUUAACUUUCUCUUCAGUCUCUUUGAUUGAAUCGACCCCAUGUAUUAGACUUUUUCUCAGUUCAGUCCAAUACAAGAGCGUUCGACACUUUCGCCCAUACAAAGCCUCAUAAGGCACUAUUUUUAGACUUGACUGGUAACUAUUAUUGUAGGAAAAUUCAACCAAUGGUAUGUACCUUUCCCAAUUACCUUGAAAUUCAAGAACACAACACUGCAACAUGUCUUCCAAGAUCUGAAUUACUCUUUUCGAUUGACCGUCAGUUUGCGGGUGAAAUGCCAUGCUGAAACUUAACUUUUUUCCCAAGGCCUCUUGUAACUUUUUCCAAAAUCUCGGGGUAAAUCUUGAAUCCCUAUUCGAAACAAUCGACAAAGGUACCCCGUGUAGUCUCACAAUAUCAGAAAUAUACAAGUCAGCCAAUCUCUCAAGGGAGUAGUCAGUAUGCAUCGGUAUGAAAUGUGCCGACUUUGUUAGCCUCUCCACAAUAACUCAAACAAUAUCCUUUUUCUUCGAGGUUAAUGACAAACCUGUCACUAAGUCCAUCGUAAUACGACCCCACUUCCACUUGGGGAUCGUGAUAAGCUGAAAUAGACUCGAAGGUAUUAGAUGUUCAGGCUUCACUUGCUGACACACUAGACACUUGGAAACGAAUUUUGAAAUGUCUCUUUUCGUCCCUGACCACCAGUACACUUUCCUCAAAUCAUUAUACAUUUUUACACUACCCGGGUGGAUGGACAAAUAACCACUAUGUGCUUCUCGUAGAAUCUUCUAAAUAAGUUUAUUAUCUUUGGGUACACAAACUCUAUCUUUAAACAUUAGACAUCCAUCGGUGCCAAUUUGAAAAUUUGAUUCAAUCCCCAACUCACACUGAGUUCUCUUAACUCGCAAAUGUUUGUCAUUGUUCUGAGCUUCAUGGAUUUCUUGUAGAAACAUCGGUCUAGCUCUCAACUCUGCUAGAACCGAACCAUCAUCUAACAAUGCCAAAUUGGCGUUCAAUGCUCUCAAUGCAAAUAAUGAUUUUCUACUCAAUGCAUCGGCGGCCACGUUUGCCUUUCCCGGGUGGUAGUCGAUAAUCAACUCAUAAUCCUUUAAUAGCUCUAACCAUCGUCGUUUCUAUAGGUUCAACUCCUUUUGAGUCAUCAAGUACUUAAGACUCUUAUGACCAGUGAUCACCCGACACUUCUCAUCAUAUAGAUGGUGUCUCCAAAUCUUUAACAAGAACACUACAGCCGCUAGUUCCAAGUUAUGGGUCGGGUAAUUUCCCUCGUGUGGCUUUAGUUGUCUUGAGGCAUAGGCUAUAACCUUGCCUUCUUGCAUGAGCACACACCCCAAACCAUUCAAAGAGGUGUCACUAUAUAUCAUAAUUUCCUUGCCCGACUCCGGUCGCACUAACACUGGUACUUCGGUCAACAAAGCCUUUAACUUCUCGAAACUUUGCUGGCACUUUUCUAUCCAUUCAAACUUGACAUCUUUUUGUAAUAGCCUUGUCAUUGAAGUAGCGAUCAUAAAAAACCCUUGAACAAACCUUCUAUAGUACCCAGCCAAGCCCAAGAAGCCGAGAUCUUGCUUCGGUCAACUCUAAUCCCAUCACCUGAAACAAUGUGUCCUAAAAAUCUAACCUCCUUAAGCCAAAAUUCAUUCUUACUGAACUUGGCGUACAAUUUCUUAUCUCCCAAGGUUUGUAACACAGUUUUCAAAUGCUCCGUGUGUUCACCCUCAUCACACGAGUAAAUCAAUAUGCCAUCAAUAAAAAUGACUACAAACUCAUCCAUAUAUGGUCGAAAAACACGGUUCAUCAAAUCCACAAACACUGCCGGGGCAUUAGUCAAGCCAAAGGGCAUGACGAGGAACUCAUAAUGCUGUAUCUCGUCCGAAAAGCAGUCUUUGGUACAUCUUGCUCUUUAACUCUCAACUGAUAAUAACCAGACCUCAAGUCUAUCUUGGAGAACACCGUGGCUCCCUUCAACUGAUUGAAUAAAUCAUCUAUCCUUGGAAAAGGAUACUUGUUCUUCACAGUUACCUUAUUGAGCUAUCUAUAGUCGAUACAUAACCUCAUCGACCCGUCUUUCUUUUUCACAAACAACACUGGUGUGCCCCACGGUGAAUAACUAGGUCUCGCAAAACCUUUAUCCAUUAACUCUUGCAGCUGUACUUUCAACUCUUUCAACUCUGUUAGGGCCAUUCUAUAAGUAGCGUUUUAGAUGGGAGCCGCACCAGGGACUAACUCAAUACCAAAUUCAACUUCCCUUACUGGAGGUAAUCCGGGUAACUCUUCUGGGAACACAUCUAUAAACUCACAAACCACUGGUACCGAUUCAAUCUUUGACUCAGGCACUUGAGUAUUCAAUACAAAAGCGAGAUAAGCCUUAUAUCUUUUCCAUAAAUAUUUCUCAGUUAACAUAGACGAUAUCACCACAGGCGGUUUAUUCGGUUCAUUUGGUCCAACCUGAAGGACAUUCUCGUCUUCACAUUUCAACUCAAUAACUUUUCUCUCACAAUCCACUACAACACUAUGAGAAGUCAACCAAUCCAUCCUAAGGAUCACAUCAGAUUCAUUAAACAGUAGUUACAUCAAGUUAGCCGGAAAACAAUGACCUCUAAUUAUCAAAGGACAAUUUCUACACAUUGGUCUACAAGCACAUGUUUAUUUAAGGGGUUAGACACUUUUAUCACAAAUUCUAUGGGCUCUACUAACAUGUUCAUACGAGGUAUCAAUUCCAUACAAAUAUAGGAGUGGGUCGACCCUGGGUCAAUUAAAGCAACAACUUAUAUUUUAUGGAUAGAAAAGGUACUCGUAAUCACGUCGGGAGACUUUGCCUCUUCACGGGCACGAAUAGUGUAAGUCCUUGCAGGCACUCUGCCCUUGGACCUUACUGCAGCAUCUUUGGGUACACCUCUGCUAGAAGCCCCACUUCCAGGGUUCUUUUGCGGUCUACCCUUCAAUGGAGCACUACUUACCUUUACUUCUUGCUUUUUCUUUCCCUCUUUUACAUCGGGACAGUCUUGGAUGAAAUAAUCCAGUGACCCGCAUUUAAAAUGCCCCCUUUCUUUACCUCGCCACUCACCAAAAUGACGUCUACCACAUUGCGAACACUCUAGCCUAUUUGGCUGAGCACUACACACUCGCGACAGAAGCGGUUUGAGCUCUAGAAGUUGCGUUCUGUCGAUUCUUGUUUCUAUUCGAAAAGCCCACCGAAGCAUUCAAUCGAGUAGCAAACUCUCUUGAUCUUUUAAACGAGGAUUGAUAUGAUUUCUCCAUCUAUCUCUUCUUUGAAUCCUGCGACUCAAUAGCCAAUUUCCUCCUUUCUUUUACUAGCUCCUCUUCCUUGCAUGCUCUCUCAACGAGCACUGCAAACUCUCUUAUCUCUAAAAUACCAACAAACACCCAGAUAUCUUCAUUGAGGCCAUCCUCGAACCUCUUACACAUGGCGGCUUCUGAGGACACACACUCCCGCUCAUAUUUGCUGAGUUUCACAAACUCUCGUUCGUACUCUAUUACUGUCCUACUGCCUUGCUUCAUCUCUAGGAAUUCCUUCCUUUUCUGGUCUAUGAACCUCUGACCAAUAUACUUCUUUCGAAAAUCUUCUGGGAAGAAUUCCCACGUUAUUCUCUCUCUCAGUACCACAGACACGAGUGUGUUCAACCACCAGUAGGCCGAAUCUUGCAAGAGCGAUAUGGCACACUUCACGCACUCCUCAAGUGUGCAAGACAGUUCAUCAAAUACCCUGAUGUUAUUCUCUAACCAAAACUCUGCUUUCUCCGGCUCGUCAUUUAUGUUAGCCCAAAAUUCCUCAGCCCCUUGUUUUUGGAUCUUGUCUACUGGAGGCUUCUCUCUCCUAAACAUGUCCGUGCCUUGCGGAGCUACCGGGGCAUACUGAGGAAUCAGAGGAGGUGGGAGAGGUGGAAUGUUCGGAUUCGUAUGAAAGAAAUCUGUAUACCAAGCAUCCAUCAUUCGGAGGUAGGCUUCUCUAGCCCCUCCACCUUGGCCCAUAGUCACGGGCUCACUCUCAACUGGCGCGGUCCCUUUAGCAGAAGCCGGCGCGUUACUCUCUAGGUCAUCCAUCGUAGCUCUAUCAAGAUCCAUUUACUAUAUAAAAAUAUGAUUUAUAAUUGUCAGAAAUCGUCACACUAUCAAUAUACAGUUAUAACGUGUAUAGCUAGACUUGUACUCUGGCUAGGUUAGUCCUAGAACCGACUAAACGAUAGCUUUGAUACCAAUAACUGUAACACCCCAUACCCGUAUCCUAUAUCGGGGCAUAAUACGAGGCGAUACCUAACUUGAACUCAUACCUACAACCAAUUCCAAGUCUUCAUAACUUGGAAAAAUUUAAAAAUUUCUUAAACUUAUCAAUAUAUUUUUAAUAUGGGCUUAAGAGGCCCAAAACACACACCGAAAAUCAUUCGGGACCAAACCAGGUCCUUUUGCCAACAAUAGAAAAAUGUCACUUGACAUAGGGGCACACACCCGUGUGACCAUUCCAGCAUGGCAGUGUUGAUGGCCCUUUGUCUCAUACGGCCUAAGCAAAACAGGGACACGCCCGUGUCCUCCACCCGUGUGGAAUUAAUUCUAAAUGCACACCUACAGGGGUUUUCACACGGCCUCACACACGUCCGUGUCCCUAGCUCGUGUCCUUCACACGGCCAUGACACGUCUGUGUCCUAGCCCGUGUGUGAAAACCUGGACAUUCUAUUUCUGAGGUUAGCAUCCCCAAAAUGUUACACGGCCAAGGCACACGCAUGUGUGCUAGACCAUGUUCUACACACGGCUGAGACACACGGCCCUGUCUUUGCUCGUGUGUUUACUACCAUGCAUACUCAUUUGAAAUGUUUACGUGCAGAGGACACACAGUCAGACCGCAUGCCCACGGGGCAAACCGUGUGUCACACACGGCUUAGACAUGCGCCCGUGUGUCUACCCAUGUGUCUACUCGUAUAGCCAAAAAUAACGACCAAAAACAAUACAAAACUAUUUCACGCAACCAAAUCAACAACAAUAGACAACAUUUCAUUUGUGCAAUUUACUCAUCCAUGAAACUAACACCAUUUACAUAUAUCAAAAUGGAUAUUAGCCAUCAUUCAAGGCUUAAUACAAAGUGAGAGAUUUAUCCCAAGCCAACAUAUUUGGCCAAAUUACAAACACACAAAACACAAGUCUAAUUCUCUAUACAUGCAAUAUUCAAAAAUAUAAAUCAAACUAUAUCGAAUGCUUCAAUUGAUAAUGUGAUUGAUAUCUCGACUUUCUUUGAUCCUUGAGCUAGCUAGGCGGCACUAUAAGAAAAAGAAAGGAGAGGAAGUAAGCAUAAAGCUUAGUAAGCUACACAUAAAUAAAUAUACAACACAACUUUACCAUUCAUCAACAAGCUCAUAAUACACAAGUGGGCAUAAGUAAAACUUACUCAUCAAUAUUCCAUACACUUCAUAUAGUAUAUAUUGAACUCACAAUUCAAACAUACCCAAUAGGUACCUGUAUCACUCACAACUCGGUCAUUCUUUCCUCAAUAACUAGAUAUUAUAACUUUCACCGUUGAACCAUUUGGAAUUUUAUCGGAUAUUCCAUAAGCCUCAUGCAUAGGGUAAGGUGUCGAUGCCAUGUCCCAGACUUGGUCUUACACUGACUAUCAUCUCGUAGCCGAUGCAUGUCCCAGACAUGUCUUACACUGGCUUACAUCUCGAGCUGAUGCAUGUCCCAGACAUGUCUACACUAGCACUCGUCUCAAUGCCGAUGCCAUGUCAUAGACAUGGUUUUACACUGGCUUUCAUAAUGUGGUCGAUGCAUGUCCCAGCCAUGUCUUACACUAGCAUGAAUAUCCGAUUUAUUUCCUAGGUUCAAAUAGGAACUCUACUAUUUCUAUUAUCAUCAUACUUUCUCAAUUCCACAAUCAAACAAUUCAUACUAUAAUAAUUCAAUACAAUUCAACAUAUACAUUAGCAAUGUAGUUGUAUUAUUUACAUACAACUUACCUCAGAUUACAAAAUGUGGCAACUAGUCGAUUUAGCCGAUUUGCUUGGCUUUCCCCCGGUCUAGGCUCGAGUUUGGUAAUUCUUGACAUAUAAGAGCAAAAUACACUUAUUUAAUCACUAAAUAAAAUUAGGCAAUCAAAAAUUCACUUUUUUCGGUAAAAUGACCAUUUUGCCCCUAGACCUUGACAAAAUAACCAUUUUACCCCUAGGCUCGAAAAUAGAUUUUUAUCAAAUUUCUUUGCAUCUUAAGCCGAGAUGAACCCUUUUUACUCUUAUAGCAACUACAAAUUCCCACUAUAUUACACAUUUAUCAUCUACUUUACAGCUUAUGCAAACUAGGCCUUUUAGGUGUUUUCAUGCUAACACCUUUCACAAAAGUUGUUUAUAAGACACCCAAGACUCAUUUUAUUCCAUAAAAACUCAACAAACAUCACAAAUAAAUUCAUGGUAAAACCCUAGACUCUCAAUAACUUUUCAAAAUAGUACCCUCAUUUGAAUGCUCAUGCUUCAAGGAUCUCAAAAGUACAAAAAUAUUUAAGAAAAGCUAUUAGGAUCAAUUACUUGUGAAGGCUUAAAGUGGCUGAAAUUUCAAGCUCUUAAACUCCAUUAUUUGCUGAAAAUUUUGGUGGAGAAAGAAGAUGAAAAGGGAUGAUAUCAUCCUUCUUUUAUCUAUUUCUAUUUUAGUCAAAAUAAGCCACCUAACCCACCAAAUUUUAAAAUUUUGUCUCCUCUUUGACUCUAUGGCCGGCUAUGCUCCUUUAAAAGGGUCUAAUUGCCCUUUAAAGUCCCCAAUUUUGAUUCUCUAAUAAAAUAACACCUUUAGCUAUCAAACUAGGACUUUUGCACUUAAUGCGAUUUAACUCUUUUCUUGUAAUUGGGCUCACAAACGUUAAAAUUAGCUCACCAAAAUUUUCAUGCACUAAUAUAAACAUGCUAUGACUCUAUAUCAAUAAUAAAAUAAUUUUUCUGACUUCGAAUUUGUUGUCCCGAGACCACUAUUUUGACUAGCCCCAAAAUUAGGCUGUUACAAACUUUCUGACUAUAAUGUCAGCACCAAUUUAGGGUCACACGGCCAUAUCAGACGCUCGUGUGGUCAGACUGUAUGGUCAAUUAAAAUUAAAUGAAUUUUUCAUAAAAAGGUGCACACUUCACACGGCUAGAGUACACACCUUCUGGGUAGGCCGUGUCUUAGCGAGUGUGUUUACUACUAAGCAUACUAACUUGCAAAAUUAGGGUGCAGGGGAUACAUGGCCAUUCAACACACCCGUGGGACAGACCGUGUGUCACACACGGCCUAGACACAUGCCUGUAUGUCUACCCAUGUGGAUAAUUUGAAGGCUAUUUUCCAAGCCAAUUGCCUCCCUUAAUCACUCAAGAACUUAAGCAUAUUUUAUAGCAUGCAACAUGACAUACUUAGACACUCAAUAUUCAACACCAUAACACUUUCACAUCUUUAUAAUAUCAUCCUAUUGCACAUUCCCUUAAUCACACCAUUUGGAAGCAUUGCAUACGAACUUCAUGCAUAUCAACUUAAUUAUCAAAAUUUCAAGUUGCACACUUAUAACUAUUGUCAUCUUAGGUUAUUAAACAAUUCCUUAUCUCCUAGUAUUUAAUCCAUACAUCUUCAUACAUUCACCAAGAAAUCGUAUUCCAAAUCAUCAAGACAAUAUCUAAUCACACAAACCACAUAGCACAUCAUCAAGGCAUCAACACAUGCAUGCAUGAAUAAUUAGAUAUUACAACCCAAGAAUCAAUCAUGAGCCCUAUCACAUGGUUAUUAUAAAGUGAAUCAUCAACAUCAUAAGCCUUCACAAUUUGGCCAAAUAGCAUGACACAUAUCACAAAAUGACCAAGUCCCCUAUACAUGCCAUACUCAAAAUAAAAAAUUCAUUAUACCCAAUAUUCUUUUGAUAGUGUGAUUGUAACUGCCCGAUUUUGGGCCUAGUCAGAAUAGUGGUUUCAUGACCACUAAUCCGAGGUUGGAGAAAUUAUUACUCUUAUAUUAUUUUAUGUGUGAUGGCAUAUUUAUAAAGGUGUAUGAAAAUUUUAGUGAUUUAAUUUUAGCGUUUGUGAGCUUAAUUGCAAAAAAGGACUAAAUCGCAUAAAGUGCAAAAGUCCCAUUUUGAUAGUUAAGGGUGUCAAAUAGCUAGAGAACCUAAAUGGGGGUUUUUAAAGGGAAAUUAUAGCCUUUAAAGAGGCAUGGACGGACAUAGGAGACAAAGAUGGUCAAAAAGUAAAAAAUUUGGUGGGUUUGGUGACUAAAUUGACUAAAAUUAAAAUAAAAUAAAGAGAAAAGAUAUCAUAUUUUUUCUAUCUCCUUCUCCACUGAAAAUUCAGCUAUUGUAGGGGUUUUUGAGCAUCGAAAAUUUCAGCCACUUUCUACUUUUGGAAGUAAGUGAAUUUUUUUUACAUUUUUAAAACCCUUGUAGCAUGAGCUUUCUAAUAAGGGGACUAUUUUGUUAAAUAGUUGAAAGUCUAGGGUUUUACCAUGAGAUUUUUCUUGUUGUUUUUUGAAAUUUUAUGGAAGAAAAUGAAUCGUUGUUGUGAAAUAAACAACUUUUGUGAAAAAACUUCUCAUGAAAACCCUAAUAGGACCAUUUUGUAAAGUUUGUAAAAUAGAUAGUAAUGUUGUGAAAUAUUGGGAAUUUAUGUUGUCAUAAGAGUAAUAAAUGGUCGAUUAGGCUUGGCUAAUAAGGAAAUUUGAUAAAAAUCGAAUUUCGGGUCUAGAGGUAAAAUGGUCAUUUUGCCCAAUUAUAAAUUGUUGAGUGCCUAUAUCGAUAAAGUGAUUUAAACUUGUGAAUUUUUAACAUUUUAGAUCAAGAAUUGCAAAAUUCGGGCCUAGACCGAGAAAAAGCAAAGUUAGCGGACUAAGUCGAAAUAGUCGCCAUAUUUUGAAUACCGAGGUAAGUUGUAUGUUAAUAAUGCAACUAUAUCUUUAUGAUGUGUAAUUGAGUUGAUAUGACAUAAAUUUCCUUGAUUUUGAAUAUGAGAAUACAUGUUGAGAACUUUACAUCGUAAAGACUUUCGUUGAACCUUUGGAAUAGACUUGGAUAUUUGUACCGUGACAUAGAUCACACUAUCAUCGGAUGUUUGUACCGUGACAUAAAUUUCCUAAUUAGCUCGAGGAUUAUCGGAUGUUGGAGGCAUAGAUCACACUAUCAUCCGAAGCACUUGGUAUAAUUAGAUCUUUUAUUUUGAUUAAGACAUGUAUAGGACCCUGACUUUUGAGUUUUGUGUCAUUUUUAAUUGGCCAAAUGUGUGGCUUACUUUAGCAUUUGAUUCAUGUUGUAUAAGGCCAUGGAAAAUUGCUAAUAUUGAAAGUUAUUAUGUGAAUGCAAGCUAGUCUUUCAUGAAUGUG
rnacentral:lncRNA from 1 species